rnacentral:rRNA from 1 species
AGAGUUUGAUCCUGGCUCAGAGUGAACGCUGGCGGCGUGGAUUAGGCAUGCAAGUCGAGCGAUCCUUUUAUGGGCGCUGCAUUUUGACGCAAGGAGAAAUGCAGAAUCUGUUUAAGGAUAGCGGCAAACGGGUGCGUAACGCGUGAGUAACUUACCCUUAUUUCAAGGAUAGCCUUGCGAAAGCAGGGGUAAUACUUGAUGUGUCCCGCUUAUCAUAAGGUGGGCGGGGUAAAGGUAGCUCGCAAGAGCUGAUGAAUAGGGAUGGGCUCGCGUCUUAUCAGCUAGUUGGUAGGGUAAUAGCCUACCAAGGCAAAGACGAGUAGCUGGCCUAAGAGGGUGGUCAGCCACAUGGGGACUGAGACACUGCCCCGACUCCUACGGGAGGCUGCAGUCGAGGAUAUUUAGCAAUGGACGAAAGUCUGACUAUGCGACGCCGCGUGAGGGAUGAAGGUCUUCGGAUCGUAAACCUCUUUCGAUGGAGAAGAAGUUUUGAGCAAUCAAGAUUGACGGUACCCAGAGAAGAAGCCAUGGCUAACUCCGUGCCAGCAGCCGCGGUAAUACGGAGGUGGCGAGCGUUACUCGGAUUCAUUGGGUGUAAAGGGCAGGUAGGCGACCUGGCAAGUUUUAGGUGAAAUCCUUUGGCUUAACCAAAGAACUGCUUAAAAAACUGCCAGGAUUGAGGCUGGGAGAGGAGAACGGAAUUCCCGGUGUAAGAGUGAAAUCUGUAGAUAUCGGGAAGAACACCAGUGGCGAAGGCGGUUCUCUGGUCCAGACCUGACGCUGAACUGCGAAAGCUAGGGUAGCAAACAGGAUUAGAUACCCUGGUAGUCCUAGCCGUAAACGAUGAGCACUAGGUGUCGGGGAUUAUAUCUUCGGCGCCGUAAGAUAACUCGUUAAGUGCUCCACCUGGGGACUACGGCCGCAAGGCUAAAACUCAAAGGAAUUGACGGGGGCCCGCACAAGCGGUGGAACAUGUGGUUCAAUUCGACGCUACGCGAAGAACCUCACCAGGGCUUGACAUGCAGGAAGUAGGAAGCUGAAAGGCAGACUACCUGUCAAGUCAGGAACCUGCACAGGUGCUACAUGGCUGUCGUCAGCUCGUGUCGUGAGAUGUUGGGUUAAGUCCCGCAACGAGCGUAACCAUCAUCCUUUGUUGCUACCUUAUGCUCAGCAGUAAUGCUGAGUAUGGGGGCACUCUAAGGAGACUGCCUGCGAUAAGCAGGAGGAAGGCGGAGACGACGUCAAGUCCGUAUGGCCUUUAUGCCCUGGGCUACACACGUGUUACAAUGCCUGCUACAAAGCGUUGCUAAGCCGCGAGGUGGAGCUAAUCGCAAAAAAGCAGGCCCAGUUCAGAUUGGAGUCUGCAAUUCGACUCCAUGAAGCCGGAAUCGCUAGUAAUGGCGGAUCAGCUAUGCCGUCGUGAAUACGUUCCCGGGCCUUGUACACACCGCCCGUCAAGCGAUGGAAGCUAGGGGUACCUGAAGUA